rnacentral:rRNA from 1 species
GGUUCAGAACGAACGCUGGCGGCGUGCUAACACAUGCAAGUCGAACGCGAAAGGGACUUCGGUCCUGAGUAAAGUGGCGCACGGGUGAGUAACGCGUAGAUAACCUGUCUUCAUGUCUGGAAUAAUACGCCGAAAGGGGUACUAAUACCGGAUAUUCUUGCUUUUCAUAAGUUAUGCAAGCAAAGGUGGCCUCUGCAUAUGCUACUGCAUGAAGAGGGGUCUGCGUACCAUUAGCUAGUAGGUGGGGUAAUGGCCUACCUAGGCGACGAUGGUUAGCGGGUCUGAGAGGAUGAUCCGCCACACUGGCACUGGAACACGGGCCAGACUCCUACGGGAGGCAGCAGUGAGGAAUAUUGCGCAAUGGGGGAAACCCUGACGCAGCGACGCCGCGUGAGUGAGGAAGGCCUUCGGGUCGUAAAGCUCUGUCAAGAGGAAAGAAGUGUACAAUGGCUAGUACCUGUUGUAUUUGACGGUACCCCUAAAGGAAGCACCGGCUAACUCCGUGCCAGCAGCCGC